rnacentral:rRNA from 1 species
AUGGUGGGCGUCAAUGCCAACGUGAGAAAGGGCCUUGCAUCCCUCGUCAUGUUAAGUCUCCCGGGGGAUUUGCACAAGCGGAAUGCGCGGGUGUUUAGAAAUGUGUCAUCCUUGCCAACUAUAAUCACAUCUAAGAUUAAGACCGAUGUUGGGUUAUGGGGGUUGGCGGGGGCUAAGCGUCUGUGUUCUUUAAUGCCACAGAAGUAG